rnacentral:rRNA from 1 species
AUUGAACGCUGGCGGCAGGCCUAACACAUGCAAGUCGAGCGCGCGGCGGACGGGUGUGUAAUGUCUGGGAAACUGCCUGCUGGAGGGGGAUAACUACAGGAAACGGUAGCUAUUACCGCAUACCAUCAGUAGUGCCCAGAUGGGAUUAGCUAGUAGGUGGGGUAACGGCUCACCUAGGCGACGAUCCCUAGCUGAUCUGAGAGGAUGACCAGCCACACUGGGACUGGGACACGGUCCAGACUCCUACGGGAGGCAGCAGUGGGGAAUAUUGCACAAUGGGCGCAAGCCUGAUGCAGCCAGGCCGCGUGUGUGAAGAAGGCCUUCGGGUUGUAAAGCACUUUCGGCGGGGAGGCGUUACCCGCAGAAGAAGCACCGGCUAACUCCGUGCCAGCAGCCGCGGUAAUAC